UAUCACAGAUCUCCAGUGGCUAGGAAGUGGAGCUCAGGGAGCUGUAUUUCUUGGCAAACUCUGUAAUGAAGAAGUAGCAGUCAAGAAGGUCAGAGAUGUUAAAGAGACAGACAUUUGGAACUUAAGGAAACUGAAUCACCCAAACAUUAUAGCCUUCAAUGUUCUUGUGGCAUCCAAUGAUAUUGUCAGGAACCAGCCGAGAGUGGAAUGAAAAAAAAAAGCACUAAAAUGUCAUUUGCUGGCACUGUGACCUGAAUGGCAUCAGAAGUCAUUUGAAAUAAAUAAAAUGUGCAGUGAAAUGAAAAAGUAGACAUUUGGAGUGCAAAGCUCAAAAAUAGACCAUCAUUUAGACAAAUUCUCAUGCACCUUGAGAUUGCCUCUGCUAAAUUACUUUGGUUCAGUCAGGAGGACUUUUCUGAAUCUCAAUGAAGUCCUUAACUGAAAGACACAGAGUCUGUCAUUAUCAUCAAGAUAUUCUAAGAAAGGAUCUGAGGUAUUCUCAUUUUCUAAUUACAAUAUAUGGAUAAAAAACCUGCAAACAACAACACCGCCUAUCGAUAACAUACUAACCUCUAGACCAUCGGAAUGUCCAAAAAACAUUCUUUUGGUCCAGAGUCAUUCGCCUUUUUGCAAAUUACCACCCCAGUGGUCAAUUGUCACUGGUUCGAGCCUUGGUCGGGGCAGUCCCUUAUUUUCAUCGCAUUUAAUUCACUACUUUCUCUCAUUUAAAAACUUGGUCCCAUGUGCUGCUGUUUAUUUAUUUAU